rnacentral:rRNA from 1 species
CAAUAGCGUAUAUUAAAGUUGUUGCGGUUAAAAGCUCGUAGUUGGAUUUCUGCUGAGGACGACCGGUCCGCCCUCCGGGUGAGCAUCUGGUUCGGCCUUGGCAUCUUCUUGGUGAACGUAUCUGCACUUGACUGUGUGGUGCGGUACCCAGGACUUUUACUUUGAGGAAAUUAGAGUGUUUCAAGCAGGCAUACGCCUUGAAUACAUUAGCAUGGAAUAAUAAGAUAGGACCUCGGUUCUAUUUUGUUGGUUUCUAGAGCUGAGGUAAUGAUUAAUAGGGGCAGUCAGGGGCACUCGUAUUCCGUCGAGAGAGGUGAAAUUCUCAGACCAAUGGAAGACGAACCACUGCGAAAGCAUUUGCCAGGGAUGUUUUCACUGAUCAAGAACGAAAGUUAGGGGAUCGAAGACGAUCAGAUACCAU